rnacentral:misc_RNA from 1 species
ACGAAACUGCAAUCUUGAACUCCACCUCGUUCCCAACUCCGAUCCCGAUCACCUCCACCACCAACCAAUAUUGGAGGAAAAGGAGAGUAGCAGUGAUGAACAAAGGCAACAGUUGACUAUUUUCUACAAUGGAAACGUCUGCGUAUGUAAUGUUACAGAGCUUCAAGCUAGAGCAAUUCUAUUGCUAGCAAGAGGAGAAAUGGAAGAAAAAAUGAGAAGCCCAAUGGGAACCCCAACGGGGUCAGAAAUAGCUUCUCCAACUCUGCCAUCUCAGGUGUGUAGCCCUACAGCAGCUGGUCUUUCCAUGAAGAGAUCAAUCCAA